UACGUAGGGUGCAAGCGUUGUCCGGAAUUAUUGGGCGUAAAGAGCUCGUAGGCGGUCUGUCGCGUCUGCUGUGAAAACUCAGGGCUUAACCCUGAGCUUGCAGUGGGUACGGGCAGACUAGAGUUCGGCAGGGGAGACUGGAAUUCCUGGUGUAGCGGUGAAAUGCGCAGAUAUCAGGAGGAACACCGGUGGCGAAGGCGGGUCUCUGGGCCGAUACUGACGCUGGAGGAGCGAAAGCGUGGGAGCAAACAGG
rnacentral:rRNA from 1 species